rnacentral:rRNA from 1 species
UCAAGUUAUUAAGGGUGCAGGGCGGAUGCCUUGGCACUAGGAGCCGAUGAAGGACGUGAUAAGCUGCGAUAAGCUUCGGGGAGUUGCACGUAAACUUUGAUCCGAAGAUUUCCGAAUGAGGAAACUCACUUAGAGUAAUGUCUAAGUAUCAUUAAGUGAAUACAUAGCUUAAUGAGGGGAACUCAGGGAACUGAAACAUCUAAGUACCUGAAGGAAGAGAAAGAAAUUCGAUUCCGUAAGUAGCGGCGAGCGAACGCGGAUUAGCCCAAACCAAUAAAGUUUUCUUUAUUGGGGUUGCGGACAUAUCAUAACGAAGAGGUAUCGUAAUUGAAGAGGUUUGGAAAGACCCACCACAGAAGGUAAUAGUCCUGUAUGUUAAACGAGAAGACUUCAGAUAUGAUCCAGAGUACCACGGGACACGUGAAACCCUGUGGGAAGCAGGAGGGACCACCCUCCAAGGCUAAAUACUACCUAGUGACCGAUAGCGUAUAGUACCGUGAGGGAAAGGUGAAAAGAACCCCGGGAGGGGAGUGAAAUAGAACCUGAAACCCUGCACUUACAAGCUGUGGAAGCACAUUUCUUGUGUGACCGCGUACUUUUUGUAGAACGGGCCAACGAGUUACGUUAAGUAGCAAGGUUAAGCACUUAAGGUGUGGAGCCGUAGCGAAAGCGAGUUUUAACUGAGCGUUCAGUUACUUGACGUAGACCCGAAACCGGGCGACCUACCCAUGAGCAGGAUGAAGCGAAAGUAAAAUUUCGUGGAGGUCCGAACCCACGAGCGUUGAAAAGCUCGGGGAUGACUUGUGGGUAGCGGUGAAAUUCCAAUCGAGCCCGGAGAUAGCUGGUUCUCCCCGAAAUAGCUUUAGGGCUAGCCUCAAGGUGAGAGAUACGGAGGUAGAGCACUGAAUGUCCUAGGGGGUAUUGCACCUACCGAAGACUAUCAAACUCCGAAUGCCGUCAUCUUAUACUUGGGAGUCAGACUGUGGGUGAUAAGAUUCAUAGUCGAAAGGGCAACAGCCCAGAUCGUCAGCUAAGGUCCCUAAAUGUAAGUUAAGUGGUAAAGGAUGUGGGAUUGCACAGACAACCAGGAUGUUGGCUUAGAAGCAGCCACUCAUUCAAAGAGUGCGUAAUAGCUCACUGGUCGAGUGAUCCUGCGCCGAAGAUUUCCGGGGCUAAAACUUACUACCGAAGCUACGGCAUCAGUAAUGAUGGGUAGGGGAGCUUCCCAUACGGGUUGAAGCAUGACCGUAAGGACAUGUGGACAGUAUGGGAGUGAGAAUGUUGGCAUGAGUAGCGAGAUGUGGGUGAGAAUCCCACAGGCCGUAAACCCAAGGUUUCCAGGGGAAGGUUCGUCCGCCCUGGGUUAGUCGGGACCUAAGCUGAGGCCGAAAGGCGUAGGUGAUGGACAACAGGUUGAUAUUCCUGUACUACCGAUAACCGUUUGAGAGAAGGGAUGACACAGUAGGAUAAGCUAAGCACACUGUUGGUUAUGUGUGCCCAAGCAUUGAGGCAGUCAAAGUAGGCAAAUCCGCUUUGAUAAUGCUGGGAUGUGAUGGGGAGCGAAAUUUAGUAGCGAAGUAGCUGAUUUCACACUGUCAAGAAAAGUCUCUAUCGAGGUUAAAGGUACCCGUACCGCAAACCGACACAGGUGGGUGAGGAGAGUAUCCUAAGGCCAGCGAGAGAACUGUUGUUAAGGAACUCGGCAAAAUGACCCCGUAACUUAGGGAUAAGGGGUGCCACCAUCAGGUGGCCGCAGAGAAUAGGCCCAAGCGACUGUUUACCAAAAACAUAGGUUUCUGCUAAGUCGCAAGACGAUGUAUAGGAGCUGACGCCUGCCCGGUGCUGGAAGGUUAAGGGGAUCUGUUAGAGCAAUCGAAGCAGUGAACUUAAGCCCCAGUAAACGGCGGCCGUAACUAUAACGGUCCUAAGGUAGCGAAAUUCCUUGUCGGGUAAGUUCCGACCCGCACGAAAGGCGUAACGAUUUGGGCACUGUCUCAACAACAGACUCGGUGAAAUUGUAAUUCCGGUGAAGAUGCCGGAUACCUGCGACAGGACGGAAAGACCCCAUGGAGCUUUACUGUAGCUUGACAUUGGGUUUUGGUACUACAUGUACAGGAUAGGUGGGAGGCUUUGAAACCAGGACGCCAGUUUUGGCGGAGCCAUCCUUGGGAUACCACCCUUGUAGUACUGGGACUCUAACCAUAGGCCAUGAAUCUGGUCUUGGGACACUGUCAGGUGGGCAGUUUGACUGGGGCGGUCGCCUCCCAAAAGGUAACGGAGGCGCUCAAAGGUUCUCUCAGUACGGUCGGAAAUCGUACGUAGAGUGUAAAGGCAAAAGAGAGCUUGAUUGCAAGACAUACAGGUCGAGCAAGGAUGAAAAUCGGACUUAGUGAUCCGGUGGUUCUGCGUGGAAGGGCCAUCGCUCAACGGAUAAAAGCUACCCUGGGGAUAACAGGCUUAUCUCCCCCAAGAGUCCACAUCGACGGGGAGGUUUGGCACCUCGAUGUCGGCUCAUCACAUCCUGGGGCUGUAGUAGGUCCCAAGGGUUGGGCUGUUCGCCCAUUAAAGUGGUACGCGAGCUGGGUUCAGAACGUCGUGAGACAGUUCGGUCCCUAUCCGUCGCAGGCGUAGGAAAUUUGAGAAGACCUGUCCUUAGUACGAGAGGACCGGGAUGGACGUACCUCUGGUGUACCAGUUGUUCUGCCAAGGGCAUGGCUGGGUAGCUAUGUACGGAAUGGAUAAGCGCUGAAAGCAUCUAAGCGCGAAGCCAACUUCAAGAUAAGAUUUCCCACCGCAAGGGUAAGACCCCAGAAAGACUAUCUGGUUGAUAGGUCGAAGGUGUAAGUGCAGCAAUGUAUUUAGCUUAUCGAUACUAAUAGGUCGAGGACUUGACCAA